ACGCUAUCCAGCGACCGAACUAAGCACCGUGACAGGCUGCGUGCGUCGUAGGUACGGGCAUGUGUAGGUAGCUAGCUGGCUGAAUGGGUCAGUAGCGCGCUAUCUACUGCGUGGGACGUUUGCAACACAAGUCUGAUACGAGAACACCAUUCGGAUGUACAGUGACUUCAUUCAUGGGUAAACCAGCUGACCUGUAUGACCGCUCACAUACUGACUGGGCUCCUACAUUGCUGCUUGCGGACACACUGACUCCAGGGAACUCACGUAAAAAGAUCCUGAAUGGGGAAACAGACUUAAAAAGCAAUUUUGAGGAGAACCUAGAUAGGACGUUAAUUCUACGAGUGUUAGUGUGACGAGGCCGUCUCCGAAGCAAAAUACGAGGACGUAACUUGAGCGCCGGACAGGGUAGAUACUUGACGUCUGUGACCAGAACGUGGCAGCUUUCCCUGAAGCACGAUGGAAUACGUGAGAAUUAAUUCCGGGGGAAAACCAUAUGAGUGCGAACUG